rnacentral:rRNA from 1 species
GAUGAACGCUGGCGGCGUGCCUAAUACAUGCAAGUCGAGCGAACAGACGAGGAGCUUGCUCCUUUGACGUUAGCGGCGGACGGAUGAGUAACACGUGGGUAACCUACCUAUAAGACUGGGAUAACUUCGGGAAACCGGAGCUAAUACCGGAUAAUAUUUCGAACCGCAUGGUUCGAUAGUGAAAGAUGGCUCUGCUAUCACUUAUAGAUGGACCUGCGCCGUAUUAGCUAGUUGGUAAGGUAACGGCUUACCAAGGCAACGAUACGUAGCCGACCUGAGAGGGUGAUCGGCCACACUGGAACUGAGACACGGUCCAGACUCCUACGGGAGGCAGCAGUAGGGAAUCUUCCGCAAUGGGCGAAAGCCUGACGGAGCAACGCCGCGUGAGUGAUGAAGGUCUUCGGAUCGUAAAACUCUGUUAUUAGGGAAGAACAAACGUGUAAGUAACUGUGCACGUCUUGACGGUACCUAAUCAGAAAGCCACGGCUAACUACGUG